AGGUGCGACAAUACUAGCACAAAUAGAUUGGAUCCAUAUAAAUUCCAUAGUUAAGUGUGCUUGAACGGAAGUAGUAUUUGGAUGGAUUAUCUCUUAAGAAGUUCUCGUGUUGCACCUC
rfam:Gossypium hirsutum cultivar TM-1 chromosome 13, whole genome shotgun sequence